rnacentral:rRNA from 1 species
CCUACGGGGGGCAGCAGUGGGGAAUAUUGGACAAUGGGGGGAACCCUGAUCCAGCCAUGCCGCGUGUGUGAAGAAGGCCCUCGGGUUGUAAAGCACUUUCAGUGAGGAAGAACGCCUGGUGGUUAAUACCCAUCAGGAAAGACAUCACUCACGGAAGAAGCACCGGCUAACUCCGUGCCAGCAGCCGCGGUAAUACGGAGGGUGCGAGCGUUAAUCGGAAUUACUGGGCGUAAAGCGCGCGUAGGUGGCUUGAUAAGCCGGUUGUGAAAGCCCCGGGCUCAACCUGGGAACGGCAUCCGGAACUGUCAAGCUAGAGUGCAGGAGAGGAAGGUAGAAUUCCCGGUGUAGCGGUGAAAUGCGUAGAGAUCGGGAGGAAUACCAGUGGCGAAGGCGGCCUUCUGGACUGACACUGACACUGAGGUGCGAAAGCGUGGGUAGCAAACAGGAUUAGAUACCCUAGUAGUC